CCAACUUGCUGCUUUCUAUUCAGGCACACCGUAAAGACCGCUCUGCUGUACUGGAAGUUAGUCUGAGAAUUAUUUGGGACUUCCAUAUGCAAGACUUUUUAAGCCUAAUGCCUCAAUGGAGGUUUGGGGAUGGAAGGGGCAGGCUGGAUCCCACAACUGCCUAACCACAGCCCUGGACCACUUGGCUCUGCCCUCAGAACACCUGUGACUCCGCCUUCUCCCCGCCCAUGGAACACCUGUAACUAUGUCUCCACCCAGCCUGCCUCUACCUGUGGAACAACUGCAAUUGCGCUGUCUAUCCCCUCCAUAAUAAAGUUUCUGGAACUGCAACUCCUAACCCUGCAACAUGUCUUUCCAUGACUGUCUUUUACUGAUAAUAACUGAAAAAUAAUGUACUGUACACUAACUUUAUGACAGUUUCUAGUCUUUCUGUUUGCAGACUAAAGUCCAGAUUGGCUUCUUCAAAUAAGGCAAAUGGUGGGGUUAGUUUGAGUGUUGAAAAACAAUUGCAGUAAAUUGGAUGUUAAUAAUAUUAUAAUAAAUUAUUUAGUGCUUU